rnacentral:tRNA from 7 species
GGGCCUGUAGCGCAGUUGGGAGCGCAUCACAUUCGCAUUGUGGGGGUCGUCGGUUCGAAUCCGAUCAGGUCCACCA